rnacentral:rRNA from 1 species
GCAGUAACCACGGGAAUACAGAGGGUGCGAGCGUUAAUCGGAUUUACUGGGCGUAAAGCGUGCGUAGGCGGCUUCUUAAGUCGGAUGUGAAAUCCCUGAGCUUAACUUAGGAAUUGCAUUCGAUACUGGGAAGCUAGAGUAUGGGAGAGGAUGGUAGAAUUCCAGGUGUAGCGGUGAAAUGCGUAGAGAUCUGGAGGAAUACCGAUGGCGAAGGCAGCCAUCUGGCCUAAUACUGACGCUGAGGUACGAAAGCAUGGGUAGCAAACAGGAUUAGAUACCCCAGUAGUCCCUGUCUCUUAUAC